GUACAGGUCUGCAGAUGAAAUGAGGCAACUCUUGCCUGGUGGCUGUCUCUUGACUCACAACUUUAUAGUCGGCUCCACUGUUUCUAGGCUACAGGCCUAGGUCUGUGUGGUGAUACAGACUUGCUCACCUCAUAGAAGCCAGGAGCAGAGACGGUUGACUAAGAGGAUCUCGCUAUGUACUUCUGCUUGGCUUCCAAAGUAGAGACACUGCUGCAUCAGUCUCCCAGAUGUCACACAGACCGGUCAUCGCAAAACAAAACAGAGCAACAACAAAAAUCCCGAACCAAAACAACAACAACAAAAUCAAACCGAAAC